rnacentral:rRNA from 1 species
GCUUGUCUCAAAGAUUAAGCCAUGCAUAUCUAAGAAUAACUAACAUUAUCUUGAAUCUGUGAAUGGCUCAUUAUAUCAGUUAUAGUUUACAUGAUAGUCAAUACUACUUGGAUAACCGUAGUAAUUCUAGAGCUAAUACAUGCAUAAAGACCCGACUUCUGGAAGGGUUGUAUUUAUUAGAUGGAAACCAAUGCGGGGCAACCCGGUAUAUGGUGAUUCAUAAUAACUUUCGGAUCGAUCUUCGGAUCGAUGCAUCAUUCAAGUUUCUGCCCUAUCAGCUUUGGAUGGUAGGGUAUUGGCCUACCAUGGCUUUAACGGGUAACGGAGAAUUAGGGUUCGAUUCCGGAGAGGGAGCCUGAGAAAUGGCUACCACAUCCAAGGAAGGCAGCAGG